GAUUUAGGCGCAAUCCCUGUUAGGAGGGAGGAGAGAGGAGGUGAGGCCGUCGGAGCCCUGGGUAUCUCAGGCUACCGGGCGCCACUGGGGCACAUGCUGCGCGCAGCGAGGGGCCAAACGAAGUCGGGAGCAGGAGAGAGACGCGGAGUAUCCAGACGGGUCAGGACGCAGCCCCCGUCCCCGAGGACCGCACUUUCUACCCCGCCUCUGCCAGUCCCUUCCCAGCCGUCCCAGCCCCUUGCUUCGGCCCCUUGAUUGCUUUGGGCAAGAAUGAAGCCUGGAGACCCCACGAAGACCCCGGAGGCCCAGUCGGCCGCCAUGGCCCUGGGUCCGCCGCGGCCCUGGGUCUGCCCGGCUGAUGUGCGGCUCUGCGGCCACCUGCGGAAGCAGAAGUCCCAGCGCCGCCGCUUUUUUGUGCUCCGCGCCGACCCGCCGCGCCUCGAGUGUUACGAAAGCGAGAAGAAGUUCCGCGCCGGCCGAACGCCGCCCAAGUUCAGUGUGAGCCUUGGGGGCGCCUGCACCAUCAGCAAGCGCGUGGACGCGCGCCAGCGCCACCUGAUCGUCCUGUACACGCGCGACCGCAGCCUGGGCGUGGCGGCGGCCAGCGAGGCGGAGCAGCAGGCGUGGUACAGCGCCCUGCUCGAGGCGCGCGCCGCCGCCGGUCCCAGUUCCCACGAGGACCCCGGGGCCUGGAUCCUCGCUCCAUUUCAGGACAUCUGGCCUGUGACGCUGCGACCCAAGGGGCUGGGGCGGGCACGAGGCCUGGGCAGCGGUGGCUACUGCCUGUGCCUGGGUUCCGGGGUACUGAGCCUGCUGCGGAAGCCAGGGGGCAGAGGCUCCGGGGCCACCGGGGCAUCUCCGCCGCCGGCCCUGCGCCUGUCCCUGCUCAGCGUGCGCCGCUGCGGCCACGCAGACGCUUUCUUCUUCCUGGAGCUCGGCCGCUCGGCAUCCACGGGUCCCGGGGAGCUGUGGCUACAGGCGCCCGACGCCGUGGUGGCCCAAAGCAUUCACGAGACCGUCCUGGCCGCCAUGAAGCGAAUCGGGGACAGUGGUGCUGUUGGCAGGGCUGAGCCACUGCCAAGAAAGCCCCCAACGGGAGCAUUCAGACCCUCUGUCCCCCAAUCUUAUGAGACCCCAGACUCCGCGGCCCAAACAAGCGAGCUGAACCGUCGGAAUGGCCGGAGUGAGACACUGGCGAGGCUGGGGGAGGCAGCCUCCAACCCCGCGAGGUUGGAGCGGGGCGGGAGCUACAUAACAAUGGGAGCCGGGAGUGACUACGAGCCCAUGAAGGGCGGCCAAGCCGGCGGCUAUGUGGUGAUGGAGCCCCCGGGCCUUCCCGCCUCCACCAAAGCAGCUCCCCGCCAGCCGCUCCAGGAUGGAGGAAGCACUGAAUACGUGACCAUGAGCUGCUGUGCACCACGGUCCUUUCCUUUCUUGCCUCUUUCCUCCGCGGCGGGGGAGCCUGGACCCGGGCUCCAAGGCGCUCAUCUCGGCCUCCGAGGCGGCUGGGGACGGGCCGGGGCUCAGCCCAGCUUGCAGCCGCCAUCAGAGUUAGCCGGAGAGUACGUAUGCAUUGAGUAUGCGGCCGCGGACUACAUAGGAAUGGGCACUGCCAUCCCCGAGCCCCCCGACCAUGGCCUCAACUACGUGGACCUGGAUCUGGUCCCUCCCCUGGAGGUGCGAGGCCACGCACCCGGGGCCAGGUCCCGCCCACACAGCUACGCUCGGCUGGAGUUCCAGAACCUCGCGGAGGCCGGGAGUUCCUGCAGCAUCACUCCAGACUCUCAAGUCUGCUUCGGUCCCCCACCCCGCCCCUGAUGAUGACAACAUUGAUGAUGCGGAAGACAUACAGACCUGGCCCUGCCCCUACCCGUGUGCAGGUUUGCCGGGUGUCUGCCAAAGUCCUGGGACCCCAGCGCAAGAGGGAUGAGAGCACCAGGUAUCUUACACUAGUGCCCCCACCGCCCUCUCCUGCCCCAGCCGAAGUGAUGACACCCCCUUACUCCCUACUCCCUAGUUUGCUUCUCCCAAUGCCAGCUCUGUGCUCAGGCAGUCCUCCUUCUCCCAAGCCUGGCAAAGCUGAGGGAGUCUUUGCUUCUAAUAUAUUCAGUCUAGCUAGAGUAACAUACUGUACACUCCCCCUCUUCAUUAAAGUUUCCCUGCUGGGUCAGCCUA